UACAUUUUCUAGCUUGCUAGAAUGAUGACGAGCGGCGGACGGGUGAAAAAGCUUGGGAAUAUGCCUUAUGGUGGGGGACAACAGUUGAGAAUUCUACUGCUAAUACCGCAUAACGUCUACGGACCAAAGGAGGGGAUCUUCGGACCUUUCGCCAUUUGAUUAGCCCAAGUGAUAUUUGCUAGUAGGUGAGGUAAAGGCUCACCUAGGCGACGAUCUCUAGCUGGUUUGAGAGGAUGAUCAGCCACACUGGGACUGAGACACGGCCCAUACUCCUACGGGAGGCAGCAUUGGGGAAUAUUGCACAAUGGGCGAAAGCCUGAUGCUGCCAUGCCGCGUGUGUGAAGAAGGCCUUCGGGUUGUAAAGCACUUUCAGUUGUGAGGAAAGGGGUGUAGUUAAUAACUGUAUCCUGUGACGUUAACAACAGAAGAAGCACCGGCUAACUUCUUGCCAGCUUUCGCGUGUAAUACGAGGGGUGCAAGCGUUUUUCGUAUUUACUGGGCGUAAAGCGUUUCGUAGGCUGUCUAUUAAGCAUUAUGUGAAAGCCCUGGGCUCAACCUUGGAACUGCAUUUUUGAACUGGUAUACUAGAAUUACUGUA
rnacentral:rRNA from 1 species